UGAGCUUGCAAAACAACCAGCUGUAAUCCAAGGGGGUUAUAGUGAAUUCCCAAGAGAGACUUGGGGAGUGGACGUAGGAGCAAGGGGUAGCUCCGAACCACUAUAAAACUCUGUGUUUGCAUUGGAUUGUCUCUUCUCUUCUUCCUCUCACAUCACUCAUAGCACUUAGCAUUAAUUAAAUAACUUGCAAUAGUUUUUAAUUAAUCAUCCUUAAAGUUUUAAAUAUCUAAAUUAAUUUAAAACCCAAUUCACCCCCCCUCUUGGGUUGUCUAUCUGGGCAACA
rnacentral:lncRNA from 1 species